rnacentral:rRNA from 1 species
GACGAACGCUGGCGGCGUGCUUAACACAUGCAAGUCGAACGGUGACGAGGAGCUUGCUCCUCUGAUCAGUGGCGAACGGGUGAGUAACACGUGAGCAACCUGCCCCAGACUCUGGGAUAACAGUUGGAAACAGCUGCUAAUACCGGAUACGAGACGGAGAGGCAUCUCUACCGUCUGGAAAGUUUUUCGGUCUGGGAUGGACUCGCGGCCUAUCAGCUAGUUGGUGAGGUAAUGGCUCACCAAGGCGACGACGGGUAGCCGGCCUGAGAGGGCGACCGGCCACACUGGGACUGAGACACGGCCCAGACUCCUACGGGAGGCAGCAGUGGGGAAUAUUGCACAAUGGGCGAAAGCCUGAUGCAGCGACGCCGCGUGAGGGAUGACGGCCUUCGGGUUGUAAACCUCUUUCAGCAGGGAAGAAGCGAAAGUGACGGUACCUGCAGAAGAAGCACCGGCUAACUACGUGCCAGCAGCCGCGGUAAUACGUAGGGUGCGAGCGUUGUCCGGAAUUAUUGGGCGUAAAGAGCUUGUAGGCGGUUUGUCGCGUCUGCAGUGAAAAUCCGAGGCUCAACCUCGGACUUGCUGUGGGUACGGGCAGACUAGAGUAUGGUAGGGGAGACCGGAAUUCCUGGUGUAGCGGUGGAAUGCGCAGAUAUCAGGAGGAACACCGAUGGCGAGGCAGGUCUCUGGGCCAUAACUGACGCUGAGAAGCGAAAGCAUGGGGAGCGAACAGGAUUAGAUACCCUGGUAGUCCAUGCCGUAAACGUUGGGCGCUAGGUGUGGGGCUCAUUCCACGAGCUCCGUGCCGCAGCUAACGCAUUAAGCGCCCCGCCUGGGGAGUACGGCCGCAAGGCUAAAACUCAAAGGAAUUGACGGGGGCCCGCACAAGCGGCGGAGCAUGCGGAUUAAUUCGAUGCAACGCGAAGAACCUUACCAAGGCUUGACAUAUACCGGAAACAUCCAGAGAUGGGUGCCCCGCAAGGUCGGUAUACAGGUGGUGCAUGGUUGUCGUCAGCUCGUGUCGUGAGAUGUUGGGUUAAGUCCCGCAACGAGCGCAACCCUCGUUCUAUGUUGCCAGCGCGUAGUGGCGGGGACUCAUAGGAGACUGCCGGGGUCAACUCGGAGGAAGGUGGGGAUGACGUCAAAUCAUCAUGCCCCUUAUGUCUUGGGCUUCACGCAUGCUACAAUGGCCGGUACAAAGGGCUGCGAUACCGCGAGGUGGAGCGAAUCCCAAAAAACCGGUCUCAGUUCGGAUUGGGGUCUGCAACUCGACCCCAUGAAGUCGGAGUCGCUAGUAAUCGCAGAUCAGCAACGCUGCGGUGAAUACGUUCCCGGGCCUUGUACACACCGCCCGUCAAGUCACGAAAGUCGGUAACACCCGAAGCCGGUGGCCCAACCCUUGUGGAGGGAGCCGUCGAAGGUGGGACUGGCGAUUGGGACU